rnacentral:lncRNA from 10 species
CUGGAGGCUGGAGGCAGUGAGGCAGCAACAGCGCGAGGGCGAGGCGACUUUGGAGCUGCCUCAUGCAGCGACCUCGCCUUCCGCUGCGCCUCCUCCCAGAACCCAAGAAGCCUGGAACCUGUGGCGUCCAGCCCUGAAAGGAGGAGACGGCAACCCAGCCGCGCUUUUGCCUGCACUCUCCCUGGAUGCUGGAGGCUGGAGGCAGUGACGCAGCAACAGCGCGAGGCGACUUUGGAGCGGCCUCAUAUAGCGACCUCGCCUUCCGCUGCGCGUCCUCCCAGAGCCCAAGAAGCCCGGAACCUGUGGCAUCCAUCUCUGAAAGGAGAAGACGGCAACCCAGCCGAGGCACUACUGGGUUGGGGUCUCCACGACCGAGCUGGUCUCAUCAAGUGGCGUCCAACAAGGGGCUCAAACCCGGGUUGAGGGGUUGCUGGAGCGACGGAGAACGUGGAACUACACUGGAGGACACCAGAGUACUCUUAAGCAAUCCCUUGGCCAAAACCAGCAACUGAUUUGGAUACCAUCAAGACACCUGAAAUCUUGUCAUGAGCCAGAUACUGAGGAAGAGAUUUUGGGAAGAACCCAAGGACCCCCCAGUUGCAGCCAUGUCAAGACUGACAAUAAGGAAGACAUCAGUCCCAGCAAGCAACAUUCAUCGGGCACAGCCACCCAUGUGGGGCCAGAUCAAGAAGUUGACACAGAUGGCGGAAGAAAAUCUGAAGAAAGCGGAUGACCAGCUACAAUGAUCUGCAGAUGUGGAUCCCGAAUCCUGCGAGAAGUAGCCCACCAUGACGAAGCUGCCUUUGCUUUUAUCGCUUUGCAAAAACAGAAAAGGGGACAUGCUGGGAACAGGCCCUAAGCCUGUCAUAAACAGGCCUUAAACUGACCAUGAACAGGAUUUCUGCACGAAUGUGACGUGCUCCUGAUGGCUAUGACGCCCACUGCUAGAAGUUGUUAGUUUACUGGAGCAGGGUAGGGAACACCUGGCCCACCCGGAGCGGAAAACUGCUCAAACCACAAACAACAGCAUGAGUGGCCUGAGCCUUAACAACAUGUUUUUGCUGCAGAUAAUCGGCCAGAGACUGUUUCUCUACUCCUCUCUAAGUAUGCUUUGUUUUUCGUAAGGAAUGCUUUUAGCUAAUCUGUAACCUAUAGAAACAAUGCUUAUCACUGGCUUGCUGUCAAUAAACAUGUGGGUCAAACUCUGUUUGUGGCUCUCAGCUCUCAAGGCUGUUUUCCCCCUGAUUCCCACUUUGCACUUUAUUUCUGUGUGUUUGUCUUCAUUCCUCUAGCACCACUGGGUUGGGGUCUCCUUGACCAAGCUGGUCUCGGCACAUAUGCAUGUAUGCCCAGGUCCUGAAAUCAGCCUUGUGGAGCCUGUGGGUAGGAAAAGUCAACCCUCUGUGCAUGUAGGCCUGGAACCUGACCAAUACUGUAUUUUCCUACCACGUUUGGUUUCAAAUGUGGAAACUGCCCAUACGGACCUACUGCAUUUGUUUUUAAAAAUCCUCUGUAAGUGGACCUGCACAGUUCAGGCCCAGAUUGUUCCAGGAUCAACCCUACAGUAG